rnacentral:ncRNA from 2 species
UAAUCUUGAGUGAUGGAUGGUUCCCGUGCGGCGCGUGUCGUUCGGGAGUAAAUGGGAAUGCGAAGGGAUGGACCCAGACAGGGCAUCCUCAUCGCAGCCGACCCCGCGACUGUAGAACGGUCAGGGUUCGCCAUCCGGUCUCGUCCGAUGGACGACGGAUCAUGCCGCGUGGUGCGGCUGGCGUCGCUCAGAGGGUGCAGCCGGAAAAGCCACUGAAGCAGCGAUGCGAGCAACCGGGGUCGGACGCCUCCUUAUCUACGAAUCGUCCACCUCUUCGACAUCGAUCCGGUCGUCAGACGCCGGGCACACUGUUUCGGGAAGGCGAGGCGAACCCGUUCUCAGGGCCCUUGCCCUGCGUGACGCCGUGAGCCAGGAGACCUGCCAGCCACACCGCGCCGCG